AGUAGCUCGCAGGCCGUUUAGCGCUUAAACGCUCAAUUUCCCGACCCCGCCGCCCAUCCAUGUUGAAAUUUCUGUUAUGCAGCGAAGACAAUGCACAAUUGUUGGAAGUGCCGGGCGCCAAUCGCAAUUGUUUGCGAAUAAUUUUCAUUUUCAUUUUUAUUUUCACUUUUUGCCGCUGCCCAACUAGCGACCACAACAUCCACAUGGAUAUAUUAGGGAGGCGUUUACUCGGGGGCAUGGUUGCGUGGAUAUAUAUUUAAUGAGCCGCAAUUUGCUGAAAAUCAUCGGAUUUCGCAACAAUUAAUUGUAUUACGUAAGGCCUGAGCGUGGAGAGUGUGAGAUGUGAUUGAAUUGGCAAUCACUGGAUGCAAAUGAUGAUGAUGAGCGAAUCUUGGGCAACCACUGCGGAUCUGGAGCUGUGCAUGUGCAGGUGUCGCUAGAGCUUAGCCUGCAGACGCUAACUGGAUGUGCAAAUCCGAUGGCCAAACAUUUAAGUGCAAAAAAAGCGGCUGGAAUGGCGGGUUUUUGUUGUGCCAAAUUU